GAUGAAGAACGCAGUGAAAUGCGAUAAGUAAUGUGAAUUGCAGAAUUCAGUGAAUCAUCGAAUCUUUGAACGCACAUUGCGCCCGCCAGUAUUCUGGCGGGCAUGCCUGUUCGAGCGUCAUUUCAACCAUCAAGCCCCCCGGCUUGUGUUGGGGACCUGCGGCUGCCGCAGGCCCUGAAAAGCAGUGGCGGGCUCGCUGUCACACCGAGCGUAGUAGAUCUCAUCUCGCUCAGGGCGUGCUGCGGGUUCCGGCCGUUAAACCACCUUCAUAACCCAAGGUUGACCUCGGAUCAGGUAGGAAGACCCGCUGAACUUAAGCAUAUCAAUAAGCGGAGGA
rnacentral:misc_RNA from 1 species